UUUAUUAUUUGAGACGUUGGCUAUUUAGGAGUGUGUUGUUUACUUUCUACAUAUUUGUGAGUUUCCAAAGUUGUUUUUUUCUGCUAUUGACUUCUAAUUUCAUUCCAUUGUGGUUGGAAAACAUACAUUGUAUGACUUCUAUCCUUUCAAUUUUAUUGAGGUUUUCUUUUUUUUUUUUUUGAGACGGAGUCUCGCUCUGUUGCCCAGGCUGGAGUGCAGUGGUACUGUCUGCUCACUGCGAGCUCUGCCUCUGAUGUUCACGCCAUUCUCCUGCCUCAGCCUCCCAAGUAGGUGGGACUACAGGCGUCCGCCACCGUGCCCGGCUAAUUUUUUGUAUUUUUUAGUAGAGACGGGGUUUCAUCAUGUUUGCCAGGAUGGUCUCGAUCUCCUGACCUCAUGAUCCACCCCCCUUGGCUUCCCAAACUGCUGGGAUUACAGGCAUGAGCCACCGCGCCUGGCCUUAUUGAGGUUUUCUUAAUGGCCUAGUGUAUGGCCUUGAAGAGUGUUCCGUGUGCGCGUGAGAAGCGUGUGUGUGGUUGUUAUUGGGUAGAGUGUUCUAACCUGUUUAUGAAGUCUAGCUGUAGUGUUGUUCUUAUCUUCUGGUUCUUUGUUGAUCUUCUAGUUGUUCUAUCCCUUAUUGAAAGUGGGGUACUGGAGUCUCCAACUGACAUACUUUUCUUUUAGCUUUUUAUUUUGGAAAAUUUCAAACAUAUAUGAAAGAAGAGAUAAUGUACUUACUCAUCACCCAGCUUCAACAUUUAUCAACAUCUUGCCAAUCUUAUUGAAUCUAUCCUUCCUUACCUUUUUAAAAAUGUUUCCUAGAGUAUGUCAAAGCUCAUCCCAGAUGUCCUAAUGUUUCUAGUAAAUGCUUCUGCACAAUUCUAAAAGACAAGGAUGUUUUUAAACCCAGCCCCGACACUACCAUACCUCACAAGAUUCAUGCUAAUUCCUCAGUGUCUUCUAGUCCCAAGUCCAUGCUCAAGUGUCCCCCCCGUCCAGGCACCCUCUUCAGGGGUCCUCCAUGUUUCAUAGCGAGAAGGGGCCCUGAGAGUUGGGCACCCCGGGCAGGCUGGCUGGAGGGGGCUUUGGAAAGGAAGGCUUUGGCCAGCGUGUGAGGGUGCAGGUCCUCACCAGCUCCUGUUUGGUCUGUUUCAGGAACAAAUGUGGUAUCUGGGGCUGGCGGUCUGAGAAGAUGGAAACUGUUAGCGGCUACGAGGCCAAGGCAGGAGAGGCUAGGGGUGGGGGGCUGGGGGUAGGAGAUGAGGUCCAGGAACUCAGCUCCUCUCCACAUCCAUCCCAGAGUAGCCCCUGGGCUCUGGAAACCCUGAGCAUUUGUGGGAACUCAGCGGGCCUGAGUGCCCAGCCCCUGCGGAGUACACAGGGCUCACCCACAUCACGGGCCCCUACCCAGGGUACCGAGAUCAAAAGAGGAGUGUGUUCCUCUUGACCCUGGGGCUGCAUCUCCUCGUUGGUGACUUCCCGGGGUUCAGACCCUGCCACCUCCUCCAUUUUGGGGAGCAAGAUCUCAUCUGUCUCUGGGACAGGAGGACCUGGGUUCUGCACUGGUGAGGCUGAGUGUGGGGAGCAGGCUCUGAGCCCCCAGCUCCCCGUGUCCCCUGCUCCCCAGGUGUACAGUGCCACCAACGUGGAGCUGGUGACACGCACACGCACGGAGCACCUCUCUGAUCAGGACAAGUCGAGGAGCAAAGGUAAACCCAGCUUUGAAGAGCAGCUGCGCCUGGCCCUGGAGUUGUCUUCACGGGAGCAGGAGGAGCGGGAGCGGCGCGGGCAGCAGGAGGAGGAGGACUUACAGCGGAUCCUGCAGCUGUCACUCACUGAGCACUGAGCCACAGCCCUGGGAGGGCUGGCCAGGCCACUCCCUGCCCGCUUUUGUAAUUUAUUUAUUUAUAAACUCUCUGCUGCUGAGCUUGGGGCCUGGAGCCCCAGGAAUGAGCAGGCAGGGGAGACUGAGAUGGAAAUAAAGAGACUGUCGCAGC
rnacentral:sRNA from 1 species